GGUCACGGAGUGCCGCGGGAGAGCCGCGCUGAGCAACCCGCAGUGCCGUAAUUCAAGGCCUCCCUGCGCAGCCUGUGCCACUGCAUCGCCUCUCUUUCUGAGAACAAAUUCUUCCUUAUCUCCAACCUGAACCCCGCCUUGCACAACUUAAAGCCAUCACCUCUUUUUCUGUUGCUGUUACCUGGGAGCAGAGGCCGACCCCCACCUCACACAACCUCCUUCAGGGAGCUGCAGAUAGCAUCAUCAUCAGCAAAUCUAUGACAACAUCUGGGCUGAAAGAGCAAAAGGAUACAUCAAAGUCGACUGAUGCACAAGCAACUUUAGACUGCCGUGACCAUGCCUAACACUUCUAGCCACAGCACUGUACCCUGAAUUAGAGAUGACAG